rnacentral:lncRNA from 1 species
AGAUAAUAGAGGAAUAAUGUCUCACAAAGUGUUUCUGAUUAUAAAGUGUAUUUAAUAAUGUAUUAAUUUGCACAUGUAAUGUUAUAAACCUUUCAAUCAUCACAAAGAUUAUUUUUUCUUUUUAAGUUGAUAAGUUCCUUUCAGCAUUGUUCUGAAAAGGGUGAGAAAGUCUUUGAAACAAGUUCUUACAUCCUAAAUUACAAUGGAUUAAGUUCAAUAUAACAUUGAAGCAACGUGCUUUUAAACUUGAGCAGAGUGGAGCGUACUGGGUUCUUAGAGUACUUAGUGCAAUCAAAAUAGUUUUCUUUUGAAAUUUUUCUUGCUGUGACUCGAGGUUUUGAUCUCUUUGCAGAGAUCAAGAUUUGCAAGGGUGAAAUUAAAGCCUACAUAUUUAGUGAACUUUAUGGUACUUAGAACAAAGAAAUGAAUAGGACAUCAGCAGUGAGUCCUAAGGCUUCUGUGCAUCUUUUAUUCUCAAGGAUCAGUUUCCUUGGGCUGGCUAAUCUCUGCUGUGUUGUAAAGGAACCUACUCCAUGUAGAUGCUGA